rnacentral:rRNA from 1 species
UNUGACUUGAGUGCAGAAGGGGAGAGUGGANUUCCAUGUGUAGCGGUGAAAUGCGUAGAUAUAUGGAGGAACACCAGUGGCGAAAGCGGCUNUCUGGUCUGUCACUGACGCUGAGGCUCGAAAGCGUGGGUAGCGAACAGGAUUAGAUACCCUGGUAGUNCACGCCGUAAACGAUGAGUGCUAGGUGUUAGGCCCUUUCCGGGGCUUAGUGCCGGAGCUAACGCAAUAAGCACUCCGCCUGGGGAGUACGACCGCAAGGUUGAAACUCAAAGGAAUUGACGGGGGCCCGCACAAGCGGUGGAGCAUGUGGUUUGAUUCGAAGCAACGCGAAGAACCUUACCAGGUCUUGACAUCCCGAUGCUAUUCUUAGAGAUAGGAAGUUACUUCGGUACAUCGGAGACAGGUGGUGCAUGGUUGUCGUCAGCUCGUGUCGUGAGAUGUUGGGUUAAGUCCCGCAACGAGCGCAACCCUUAUUGUUAGUUGCCAUCAUUAAGUUGGGCACUCUAGCGAGACUGCCGGUAAUAAACCGGAGGAAGGUGGGGAUGACGUCAAAUCAUCAUGCCCCUUAUGACCUGGGCUACACACGUGCUACAAUGGUCGGUACAACGAGUUGCGAGCCGGUGACGGCAAGCUAAUCUCUGAAAGCCGAUCUCAGUUCGGAUUGGAGGCUGCAACUCGCCUCCAUGAAGUCGGAAUCGCUAGUAAUCGCGGAUCAGCACGCCGCGGUGAAUACGUUCCCGGGCCUUGUACACACCGCC